AAGCUCGUAGUUGAAUUUCGGGGUCAGUAGGUUGGUCGUGCCACUGGUAUGUACUGGCCUCACUGAUUCCUCCUUCCUGAUGAGCUGUAAUGCCAUUAAUUUGGUGUUGCAGGGAAUCUGGACUGUUACUUUGAAAAAACUUAGAGUGUUUAAAAGCAGGCUAACGCUUGAAUACAUUAGCAUGGAAUAAUGAAAUAGGACGUUCGAUCCUAUUUUGUUGGUUUCUAGGAUUGACGUAAUGAUUAAUAGGGAUAGUUGGGU
rnacentral:rRNA from 1 species